GGUGAAUGCUGGCGGCGUGGAUAAGUCAUGCAAGUCAAGGGGGCCCGCAAGGGCAACCGGCAAACGAGGUAGUAACACGUAGGUAGACCCCCCCAGAGUCGGGCAUAGCCAGCCGAAAGGUUGGGUAAUUCCCGAUAGUCCCGAAAGGGUAAAGGUUUUUCGCUCUGGGAGUUGCCUGCGUAGUAUCAGCUAGUUGGUAGGGUAAUGGCCUACCAAGGCUACGACGCUUAGGGGAGCUGAGAGGCUGACCCCCACCGAUGGAACUGCGACACGGUCCAUACUCCUACGGGAGGCUGCAGACGAGAAUAUUCCGCAAUGGGCGAAAGCCUGACGGAGCGACGCCGCGUGAUUGAUGAAGUGC
rnacentral:rRNA from 1 species